rnacentral:rRNA from 1 species
AUUGAACGCUGGCGGCAGGCCUAACACAUGCAAGUCGAACGAGUGGCGGACGGGUGAGUAAUGUCUGGGAAAAUGCCUGAUGGAGGGGGAGCACAACUGGAAAAGGUAGCAAAUACCGCAUAUCAUCUGAUGUGCCUAGAUGGGGUUUGCGCGUUGGUGGGGUAACGGCUCACCAACGCGACCAUCCCUAGCUGGUCUGAGAGGGUGACCAGCGACACUGGAGCUGAGACACGGACCAGACCCCUACGGGAGGCAGCGAUGGGGAAUAUUGCACAGUGAGCACAAGCCUGAUGCAGCCAUGCCGCGUGUAUGAAGAAGGCCUUCGGGUUUUAAAGUACUUUCAGCGGGAAUGCGUUACCCACAGAAAAAGCACCGGCUAACUCCGUGCCGGCCGCCGCGGUAAUUC